rnacentral:rRNA from 1 species
GUCUACGGCCAUACCACCCUGAACAAGCCCGAUCCCAUCUGAUCUCAGAAGCUAAGCAAGGUCAGGCCUGGUUAGCACUUGGAUGGGAGACCACCUAGGAAGAUCAGGUGCUGCAGGCA